AUCAUGUGCCUUUCUGGAGGGAAUGUCUGCCUAGAAGACAGGAAAUGGCUGUGGCUCUGAAGCUGUUGUUGAUGAUGAUACAUCUGGCAUGAAGACAUUGCAGGCUUAAAGUUUAUCAGCCCUUUGUUUUGGUGAACUAAGGGUUGUUCGUCACACAAUGGCGUUAUAUUCCUUGGGGGAAUGCUCUGACAAACUAUGACUACUCAUGCCAAGAUGUUAUGCAGAGUCUGGUUUUAUAAGGAAGGCAAGUGAGGAGAGAAUUUCGAAUCGUUAGAACAAACACUCAAGCCUGGCCCAAUCUUGGUGGCAACUGAAAAGAGGGCAACGGAAAGUGGAUAGACGAAUCUGAUGGGCUGUGCAUCUAUAUGGAGUCCUCUGAGUUUGGCUACUAUCUGUUCUACAUAAGGCGCAGAAAGUCCGGGCUUAAAAAUGAUGGCAGGCAGGCCGGCCGGCGAGCACGCGAUCCCGCGGGAAGGGAAUAAGGAAAAGCGAUGUUGACAAAGCUGCUGAAUGGGGGAAUCCUGCGCUUUUUUGGAGGCAAAGAUGAGAAGGAAUAUAUCGCCUGUGUCGACCUCGCCUGCUUGGUUCUUCCGUUCCGUGACUUGGUUGUGCUCCGCUGGAUCGUGCCAGCCGCCAACGGGAUGAGCAUUGAGCACGUGUGAACCGUGGCGUAGGUAUGUCAUUGUUUGCUCUAAGAGUGUUUUGCUCAGCGGUCGUUCUUUGUUUACUGUAUGAAGUAUGAACUCAUCCAUUCAUCUGGGUUACAGAAUUUGGGAACACUUCAAAUGAUGCGAAUUGGAAUUUGGAAAGUAUAUAGAGUAUAGACCGCUGGACAAGCUGUUUCUAUAGUUUGGUGUUGGUGUAUAAUGAACUAAUGAUCCAUAUUGUUUGGAAGAACCAACUAAUGAUCCAUAUGCUCGCCUAAAAGGCAAAUGGUUCAUGUAUAUGUUUUUUUUUUAGCAACAAAUAUGUUUGCUUCUGUUCGUGUAGAGUUGGCAAAGCAAAUAUACGGGUGUUCCACAGAUUAGCAGCUUUGAUGAAAAUUGGCGAAAUGAACGUGUCGGAUCGAUCACUCACUGGGGCCUGUACUAGCAAAGCCGGAGCCUAGCCCAGCAGCAUGGCAGCUCUCUGUGGCCCAGCUGUUGAAGCUGCCGAUGUGCUGAACUAUUGGAAACAGGUUGUCAUCGGUCCCUGCAAGUUGCACCCCGACCCGCGUUUUUUGGCCGGGCUUCACAUGCGGCUCCGGCCCGCGAUCGACAUCGUUGCACGGAGGCAGCAUCGCCAGGUGAAACCGUGCAACUGUUCUCUUCAAAAAAAAAAAAA